UACGUAGGGUGCGAGCGUUAAUCGGAAUUACUGGGCGUAAAGCGUGCGUAGACGGUUACAUAAGUCAGAUGUGAAAGCCCCGGGCUCAACCUGGGAAUUGCAUUUGAGACUGUGUAGCUAGGGUGCGGAAGAGGGAAGCGGAAUUUCCGGUGUAGCGGUGAAAUGCGUAGAUAUCGGAAGGAACACCAGUGGCGAAAGCGGCUUCCUGGUCCAGCACCGACGUCAGGCACGAAAGCGUGGGGAGCAAACAGGG
rnacentral:rRNA from 1 species